GCCACUAUGGUCUAGUGGAAGGACGCCCAUUGAUGCCGCCGCGCAGCUCCGCAAGUUAAGGAGGCAAGGCUAGGGAGGACCGGGGUUCGAUUCCCCCUAGUGGCA